rnacentral:rRNA from 1 species
GACGAACGCUGGCGGCGUGCUUAACACAUGCAAGUCGAACGAAGUGGCGAACGGGUGAGUAACGCGUAAUCAACCGGCCCUUCAGAGGGGGACAACAGUUGGAAACGACUGCUAAUCCCGCAUACUGAAGGAGGGGAUUGCGUCGGAUUAGCUCGUUGGAGGGGUAACGGCCCACCAAGGCGAUGAUCAGUAGCCGGUCUGAGAGGAUUAACUGCCACAUUUGGACUUAGACACGGCCCCGACUCCCACGGGAGGCAGCAGUGGGGAAUUUUCCGCCAUGGACGAAAGUCUGACGGAGCAACGCCGCGUGAUUGAUGACGGCCUUCGGGUUUGUAAGCUCUGUUAAUCGGGACGCGGUACCGGAAUAGAAAGCCACGGCUAACUACGUGCCAGCAGCCGCGGUAAUUC